rnacentral:lncRNA from 1 species
UCUGGUUAUGUGCAGAAACUGAAAAUAUGGAUCUUAUAGACGUUGAAACAGUAUGUGCUCUUCUGCUCUUCCAACUUUGGGGAACUAUUUCCUUGGUCACUUCCUCGACCAGGAGUUAAGUUUCUGCUGUAUUACUUAGAACUAGUCUCCUAAUUGAUAAUUGGACGGUUUCAGAGUUCUAUAUGAACCAUAAGGCUUUUAAGAUUUAGUGAGAAACAGCUAAACUGUCAAGGCUAAAGAGUGAAUGUGUGAAUUGGAGGCUCAGCUUUUUCGGUUCAAAAACCCAGGCGUGUGCAUGGAUACUGGGCCAGCUCGAGAACAGAUUGUCUAAA